rnacentral:lncRNA from 1 species
AAUACUUUUACAUGACUCUUUCACAGCUGUAAGGCUCUCACCAAAUGCAUCUGCUUCCCCACCUAAUGUUGUAUUUGCAUUCAUAUUUCCUAUGAAAGAAUUAAGCUGAUGAAAAAUGCUGUUUUCUGAGGCUGGCCACAGUGGGGGCUCCUGCAUAUGUCUGCUUUGCAAGAAGAUUUUGACCGGAGCCGUGGCUUGAGGUAAGGAGCAAGCGCUGCUGCCUUAGGCUUGUGCUGGGCAUUGGAAACUUGACUUGGAAACUUGACUGCAACUUGACGACAGAAAGCUGUGACUUUCAGCCUGGUUUAAUAGGGUGGAAAAAUGGCUAUUGUUUCUGAGAUUUCAUUUUCUCUGUAUUAUCCCUUAUACUUUUAAAGCACUCUUUCUCAACUAAUUUAUAGGACAGAUAAUUUAAUCUGAGAGCUGAGUAAAUGUGCUGUAAUAC